rnacentral:rRNA from 1 species
CCUACGGGUGGCAGCAGUGAGGAAUAUUGGUCAAUGGACGAGAGUCUGAACCAGCCAAGUAGCGUGAAGGAUGACUGCCCUAUGGGUUGUAAACUUCUUUUAUAUGGGAAUAAAAUGCUCCACGUGUGGGAUUUUGUAUGUACCAUAUGAAUAAGGAUCGGCUAACUCCGUGCCAGCAGCCGCGGUAAUCCGGAGGAUCCGAGCGUUAUCCGGAUUUAUUGGGUUUAAAGGGAGCGUAGGUGGAUUGUUAAGUCAGUUGUGAAAGUUUGGGGCUCAACCUUAAAAUUGCAGUUGAAACUGGCAGUCUAGAGUACAGUAGAGGUAGGCGGAAUUCGUGGUGUAGCGGUGAAAUGCUUAGAUAUCACGAAGAACUCCGAUUGCGAAGGCAGUACACUGGACUGCAACUGACGCUGAGGCUCGAAAGUGUGGGUAUCAAACAGGAUUAGAUACCCGAGUAGUC